UACGAAGGGGGCUAGCGUUGCUCGGAAUUACUGGGCGUAAAGGGCGCGUAGGCGGAUAGUUUAGUCAGAGGUGAAAGCCCAGAGCUCAACCUUGGAAUUGCCUUUGAUACUGGCUAUCUUGAGUUCGGGAGAGGUGAGUGGAAUGCCGAGUGUAGAGGUGAAAUUCGUAGAUAUCUGGAAGAACACCAAAGGCGAAGGCAGUGUCCUGGGUGGUCGCUGACGCUGAGAGGCGAAAGCCAGGGGAGCGAACGGG
rnacentral:rRNA from 1 species